UAACCCCCAGAAAGACAGCGUUUUGAUUGGAUACCGAUCACUGCGCUGGCUGCGUGAGGGAUAUACGGAACUAACGGAAGUGAGAUGUCGUCCGACGUCUGUUGGCAAGGCUAUCAUGGCGGCCGCAACGUGCCGGUGAUAGAUUUGCGAUCGCUGGAACGUAGGACGUAUAGUUGUACGGCACAUGGCCCUGUGACAGACCUUUCAAUCUCGCAAAUGAACCUAAAUAAACGCAGCUCGUUUAUCCACCUUAUCGAUAAUUAAAACGUCGGAAGUUCACUCGUCAGAUGGUCGACUACUUCUAAGGUUACGAGGUGACAGCUCGUAAGUAAACGGUAAUCGUCACCGGCAGUGAACGCGUAAUAAAGUUUUCAAUGCAUCGCAAUGCAGACGUAGCGAAUUUAAUAAGCAGCGCGUUCAAGGUCGUCGUAUCUGCAAAGCAAUCAUGUGGGUAACAAACAUCAUGGAUGCAGGACAAUCACAAACUUUGCAUUUCUAACGUACCCACUGUAUCGAAUCAGAACAACUAACAUCUUCCCCCAAUUCCCAAGCACAUCGAUAUCGAAAAAUACAGCAGCUCACAUUCCGGUGUUACAAAUCGAGGGUUCCUAACCCCACAGGCUAAAACCAACGUCGGAUGAUCCAACACCACCACCUGGAUAUUACAAAAGGACGUUUUCUCUCCUGGCACGCCACAAACUUGAGCAUUCCUUUCCAAUCCUACUCAGUUCUGAAACCCAACCUAUUUCCCCCGGAGUUCAUCGUAAGUCAACCAUAAUUUAUACUUCUAUGACGUACCUGCUGUAUUGUUUCAACACGAUUAACACCUUCCUUCCAACCCCAAGCAUACCAAAGGAUCCUACUUCCAUAGGUGUACCGACACCUACAAAUUCAUCGGCACUACCUAUACAAAUCCGUGAAAGAAGGUACCUCUCCAGAAACGUAACGAACGCAAAGCUCCUCUUCAAUCCCACCCGCUCAACAAACAUCCGAGGACCUGGGAUGGCGGACGACUAUGCAAAACAAAGAAAGUCUACAUCCAACAAGGCCCGACGCAAGCGUACAGAUGUAGAACGAUGCGUCAGAACCUGAUCCAUUGCAACAGACCAAGAGCCUCUCCCCAAAGACCAAUUCCGAGCGAACUGAUGCCGAUAAAUCCGGAGCCUACUCUCACCUCACCCGAAAGAAACCAAUUUCUUUCGUGGCACAUCACCCACGAAAAACACCUUUCUCAGCGCGAUUCUACCCGGCAACAAGAACGGUAGCGAAUCAAAAGGUGAACAAACCUUCUAAACGUAGAUCUAUUUUGGAUAAAUCUUGCGAAUUCGAGUCCAGGCCAUCGGACCAACGAUUUCUUGUGAUUCAACAUACCGAUAACGAUGGAAAAAUUGGCUCCCGUCCCGAUAACAGCAAAUUAAAAGUUCCUGUACCCUCAAACAAAGGGCCGCCGUAAAAUUCAGAGUCUACCUCACGCUACCCGGAAAAAGACGGUCUUUUUCCUGGCCCUUCACACAACACGAGCUCUGCCGUAAACGUAUGCGCUGAUCAAAGCUGUUGCUGAACGAAAUGGUUGAAGAUCCAUUGAAUUAACGAUACAUCAACGAUGGCUAGACGCUGUCUUGUAGUCACCUAGGGAACCUAUUUUAUCGACUCGCAAGCAUUUUCCUCAGAUGCCGACGCACUGGAACAAAUGAGCAUGCAUGCCGAUGCCUCACGCAACAACCGGCGCAUCGAUUAACGUUGUGACGAAGGGGCAUCGAAAGAAAAGUGUGAAAUUCGUGCGGAAGCGUUUGUUUACGUAAUUCAUGUUACCUACAAUAACAAACAACAUCCACCAAUAGCCAAUGUCGACGAUCACCGUGCGCGUCUCAUGAAAGUGGCCGCGAUCUACGCUUGCGUCAAAGUAUUCGAAUUUCGCAGUCCACGAGCAAGCACGAGCCUUGCUGGAGAUAACGUAGUCACCGGCGUAGGCGUCUUGUUGUAGGAUGUCACUCGCGAGAGCUGAUUCGGCAGUAGAUCAGCCCUUAUAGGUGACAUCUCACAACAUUAUGCCUACGCCGGUGGCUACGCUGACUCCAGCAAUAACAAGGCUCGGGCUCGCUCGGAGACUGAGAAAUUCGAAUAUUUCGACGCAUGCUCUGAUCGCGGCCACUUUCACGUGAAACGCACGGUAUAAGCAUGUCAUGUGAGCGAAGUACUGCGUCCCAAAGUAAUUGCUGUACAUGAUAAGCAUUAGAAUGAUUGAUCUAUUUGACGUAGCAGUGAUUGCAAUGAAUGGUAAUAAAUGGGUACUCGAAACAAAAGACACCAUCAUUGUUAGUUUCAGUUCUGGCGUUGCAUUGUAAUUGUUGUAUCGUAGUCAUCUGAAGGUCAAGGACGGUUGGAGCGGUAUCCAAAUGUCAAAGGAAAAUCGAAGCGGGUUUCCAUAUAGCGUCGGGGCAAAAUAACGUAUCGUCGACAGGCCAACUUCAAUGUUAUAAUAAUUGGCAAUCAGAAAUCGAGAUCGUCGUUCGAAUAAAUGUCAGGCUAAUCAAAUAAACGCAUCGAAACAAAAUACACGGGCAAAUAAUGCUUUACAUCCUCCCCCAACACCGUCCAUAGUCAAAAGUAAGGCUUAAGACUGACUAUCGUUGUUUACAAAACAAAGAUCUUCAGUCAAUAACCGAAUAUAAUCCGAGGGUAAGUUCAGUAGGCGGAUAUAAAUAAAACGAGCAUCGUCCGGCAAUGUCAACAUUUCUGACGAGGAGGAUCAUAUGUCAGACGUUCAUCUUAUUCUUGCAGCGCCAAACGUGAAAAUCAAACAUUGUCCAUAAGUACAACAACAUUUAUAACGCAUCAAAUUAAUAAUACCGGCACAAUUACGAUUGCCAAGGAGGGAACUCGUUGAACAAUCGGUAAUUGUAAUCAGCAGAGAUCGCGGAGAUGAAAAUAAUUUCAAUUCAAGAUUUAUGGCUGUACGAACUACAGCCCAAUCAUGUCCAGGUCACCUGUCUAGCAAUCAUUUCUGAGCCAACUACAAUCUAUGCCCUCCGUCAUACCAAGUAUACUGAUUCAUGAAGUUUAACAUUACCUUCUCUCAUUUAAGCAUACCGAUAUUGAAGGACGUAUCAGUUUCAAUUCCAAUACCAAAAACCAAA